UACAGAGGUCCCAAGCGUUGUUCGGAUUCACUGGGCGUAAAGGGUGCGUAGGCGGUCGGGUAAGUCUGACGUGAAAUCUCCGGGCCUAACCCGGAAACUGCGUUGGAAACUGCCUGGCUAGAGGAAUGGAGGGGAGACUGGAAUACUUGGCGUAGCAGUGAAAUGCGUAGAUAUCAAGUGGAACACCAGUGGCGAAGGCGAGUCUCUGGACAUUUCCUGACGCUGAGGCACGAAAGCCAGGGGAGCAAACGGG
rnacentral:rRNA from 1 species